AUUCAGUAUGCAAUUUUGUGCCAGAUAAUUACUAAAGUAUUCUUCACAAAAGAAAACAUAUCUCACGAGCAUAUAAUUGAAGAUUACCAAUGUCUCAAUUACUCAACUUAUUGUUGUAUGUGAACUGAUUCAAAGAUGAAAAGUAAAAAAAAAAAGUAAAAAAUGAACAAAUGAUCAUAUGGAGCAGGUUUGGAAUCAGCCGAAAAAGGGUUUCA
rnacentral:lncRNA from 1 species